rnacentral:rRNA from 1 species
UACGUAGGUGGCAAGCGUUGUCCGGAAUUACUGGGUGUAAAGGGAGCGCAGGCGGGAAGCCAAGUCAGCUGUGAAAACUACGGGCUUAACUUGUAGACUGCAGUUGAAACUGGUUUUCUUGAGUGAAGUAGAGGUUGGCGGAAUUCCGAGUGUAGCGGUGAAAAGCGUAGAUAUUCGGAGGAACACCGGUGGCGAAGGCGGCCAACUGGGCUUUAACUGACGCUGAGGCUCGAAAGUGUGGGGAGCAAACAGG